rnacentral:misc_RNA from 1 species
ACCUGCAUGUCAUGGCUGAUCUAAUUCAAUCUGUUGGGGUGAUGGUUGCUCCAGCAAUUAUAUGGGCAAAACCUGAUUGCUUGGUGGUUGAUCUGAUUUGCACUCUUGUCUUCUCUGCUUUUGUUGUAUUUUCAACCAUUAGCAUACUAACGGAGAAGACUCCUCAUGAGNUGUUCACAUGGUAGAAAGUGGUCUAAAGUGUAUAAAAGGAGUACAAGAUAUUCAUGAUCUGCAUCUAUG